UCCACUGAUAGCUAUAGUCUGCAUUACAGAAUGUAUUUUCUUCUAUUUUUGGAAAACUUCAUUGCUAUAACACCCAUUUUUAUAUUAUUUUUUUUUUCUGUGUACAAGACGUGAUAAAAGGAGAACCUAGAAAGAAUAUUACUAUGAGAUAAUCAUGACGUUCUGCAUCCCAUUCACAGAGCAGCUUUUUGCAAGCCUGUGUCACAGCUACCUCCUCUGGGUAGAAAUACAAGGGGUGAGCAGGCAGCAGGGGAGAAGCAUCUGAAGGAGUGGGCCUGGUGAGAUUCAAGAGAAGUUCAGUGCUUCACCAGCCAGGUGCAGCUGUUCAACCUGGUUGUGGACUACUGCUAUCCUUACUGAGGAAGAGUACACAAAGCAAGAUAAAAAAGCAAGAAAAAAAAAAGUACACAAGAGCAAGAUAAAAGCAACUAGUAAAUGUUUUCUCCAUGUUCAAGACAGGAACUUCAACAGCACCAAGGACAUUGAAUACACCGUAUUCAAGGGACAAAACUUCUAUUGUGAUUGUUCAGUGGUAUUUCUACCCUUGAAAUUUUGAAUGCCACGACCCAUACUAAAAUUAAUAAAAUACCUAUUACAAUACUGAUGUAUGGCA
rnacentral:lncRNA from 1 species